CAUUAGCUGUGUGAACCUAAGUAAGUUACUCAAUCUCUCUGACCUGCAGUUUCCUCCUCCAUAAAAUGAAGAAAACUCUUCAGCUCACAUGAUGGUUGUGAAAAAUAAAUAUAUUUACAAUGUUACAUGCAAUCUUGCCCCAUACUGAGAGCUCUGGAAUUGGUGGCCAUUACUACUAUCUUUGUUAGAACACAAAGAACCUCCUGUGACUUCCCAUUUUCUAUAGGAUCACGUUUGAACUCCUGAGCAAGACACUGGAAGUUGGUCCCUACCACACGCUCAGUACAUUUCACCACACUUUAACAGGCUCACUGUUCCUUUCCUCAGCAGACAGCCCUUCUCUCCCUUUCCACCCAGAGAAUUAAUCUCAUUCUGUACAGGCCAGUUUAUAUUAAUCUCAAUCUCUUUCUCAUUAAAUCUCCCACAGUCCCAGCAAACGAGUGUCUCUCCCAGCUGUGCCUCACACAGGCAUGUUCAUACAUCAGCAUAAUCUUGGUCCUAUUGAGUGCGACUGAGCUGUGUGGUAUCUCCCUCCAACCCAGGGAGCUCCAGGCACGCAGGGCAGACCUCCUCCAUGUCAGUAUCUUGAAUGCCUGGCACAGUGCCCACCAUGGAGCAGGCACUCAAUAAACUGUGUAGAACUCAAACAAGCUAAAAGAAGACUAUAUGCUUUGUACACACUGGAAUUCCUUAAUAUUUCAAAAUGGAAAUCCGAGUUCCGAAAAAAAAUCAAGGUUUUAAGAGCCAACACAGAAUCUGGAACCAUCGAGCAAUGCAUCAAGUUCUCUUUCUCUGCAUCCAGUUCUUCUGGGGCUUAAAAAAAAAAAUACUGAUGGCCAGACUCCAUCCCUGGCAAUUAUGAUGUAAUAGAUCUGCAGUGGGCCUGGGCAGUGUUAGGUAUUAAAAGGUCUAAGGUACAGCCAGGAUUGAGACCCUCUGCCAUAGCUCAGAGGGGUCCACCACAUUGUAAAGAGCUCCCAGUCUAAGUGAUGCUGGAAGUCAGAGAACUGGUUUACAGGAAUGCAGAGAGAUGGUCCCCCUCAGCUGCUCCUCUACCGGUCUCUCAGCUGGAGGGAGGAUUUAGGUCUUUGCAUGUUCACCCCUGCAGUGCAGAGCACAGCGCCUGGCAGGCUGACGGUUGCCCUGUUAGCUGAAUCGAUUCUGAAUCUGGCCUGAAGACACUCCAGCUGCCCCAUCCCAAAUGUCCUGGCUCCCUGAAGUCUCUGUGACCUCAUGUCAGAGUGGCUGGAAACUUUCACUCAAAUGAGCUGGCUGUGGCCUCCCCCGACUUUGAAAAUAAAUAAAGAAUACAUUUCCUUUUGCA